GACCUCAAAUCAGGUAAGAAUACCCGCUGAACUUAAGCAUAUCAAUAAGCGGAGGAAAAGAAAAUAACAAUGAUUCCUCUAGUAACUGCGAGUGAAGAGGGAAAGGCUCAAAUUUUAAAUCUGUUAGGUUUACCUAACCGAGUUGUAAUUUGAAGAAGCGUUUUCUGCGAAUUUGGUUAGUCCAAAUCCUUUGGAAUAAGGUAUCAUGGAGGGCGAGAAUCCCGUUCGGUUAACCAAAGCGCUUUACGAUACGCUUUCAAAGAGUCAAGUUGUUUGGGAUUGCAGCUUAAAAUGGGAGGUAAAUUUCUCCUAAGGCUAAAUAUUGGCGAGAGACCGAUAGCGAACAAGUACCGUGAGGGAAAGAUGAAAAGAACUUUGAAAAGAGAGUUAAACAGUACGUGAAAUUGUUGAAAGGGAAACGAUUGAAG
rnacentral:rRNA from 1 species